AUGCAGGGUCUAGUUACAAUGUAGCUGUGAAGUGCCUCAUUGUCUUUGCCCCCUGCUCAGAAUAAAACUGUUACCUUCCUUGCCCUGUCUGCAGGGUGCUGUAGCAGCUGGGGAUGCAGGGUCUCAUACAU